AACGAACGCUUGCGGCGCGCCUAAUACAUGCAAGUCGAGCGAGAAAGUUCUUCGGAAUGAGUACAGCGGCGGACGGGUGAGGAAUACGUAGAUAAUCUGCCUUAAAGUGGGGGAUAACUACUCGAAAGAGUAGCUAAUACCGCAUAAGACCACAGGGGCUUCGGCUCUAGGGUGUAAAGGUUUUUCGCUUUAAGAUGAGUCUGCGCCCGAUUAGCUAGUUGGUAGGGUAAUGGCCUACCAAGGCAACGAUCGGUAACUGGUCUGAGAGGAUGGCCAGUCACACUGGAACUGAGACACGGUCCAGACUCCUACGGGAGGCAGCAGUAGGGAAUAUUGCACAAUGGACGAAAGUCUGAUGCAGCGACGCCGCGUGAGUGAUGAAGGCCUUCGGGUCGUAAAACUCUGUGAUAUGGGAAGAUGAUGACGGUACCAUAUCAGAAAGGACCGGCUAACUUCGUGCCAGCCGCCGCCGUAACAC
rnacentral:rRNA from 1 species